CGCACUGUUGUUAAAGUCAAGGUGCUGCCAAAGAAGCUGAGGAUGUUAUGCAAAAGUCAGAUAAAUAAGUAUUUCACUUACUCGCUCCUUGAUGAACGGGGUUAAAAGAAACCAAGUUUUUAGUAAUUAUGAUCUGGUUUCCUCUGUUCACACUUUAACAUACAGGUACAGCUCAAAAAAGAGAAUGUCCUGAAAAACAGCUGAUUUUUCCCCAUAAUUUAAUUCAGAAAAAGACACUUCAAUGUCUUAGAUUUAUCACACAAAGUGAAAUAUUUCAAGACUAUUUUGUUUGAAUCUUGAUGAUUACCGUUUACAGCUCCCUAAAAUUUAAUAAUGUGUACUGAACCAGAGUGAGAGAAUUUAUAGGCUCAGUAAACCUUUGCAGGUGUUCAGAGCACAUUAGCUGAUUAGAGCUAAUUACAGGACAAUAAGAACUGGCAAGAACUGGACUUUUCAACAAUAUCCAAACAUUGUGAGAUAGUGGCUUUUUGAUGACCUUUAAACUGUCAUCAAGAUUGAAAUAAAACUAAGUCUUGAAAUAUUUCACUUUGUGUGUGAUGAAUCUAUAUAGAAGGUCCACUUUUUAAAAUUAUGAGGAAAAAUGAACUUUUUUAGGACAUGCUAAUGUUUUGAGCUGUACCUGUAAACCUGGAAGGUAUUUUCCAAGAUAACAUUUAGCUAGAUAUACAGGCCACUUUAUUCUUAGAGGGCCUCCAUGUUUAUCUUUUUAUUAAUAUUGGGUUUAUAUACCAUUAAAAUAAAAUAAAAAAAAUAUUUUUCAGCUUACUUAACAACGUAUAUCAAUUAGUCAGUUGUUGUUGGUUAUGACAAAUGAAACAAAAACACAAGUCCCAUGGAUGUCGAUCAAUGUUUCAAGCCACACACAAAAAACAUUUCCAUAAGGUUUUAUUUUAAUGAAUGCUCUCACACUUUAUCCUUUAUAAAGUUAUUUACACAUAUUUCGCUCCCAUGGUAAAGAAAAUAUCCAUAAGUGGAAAGAGAAGGGAAAAAGAAGGCAACAAAGUAAAAAAGUAAAGCACAACCAAGAUUUUAACAGAAAGCUCUAAAUCAUAAAAUAUAUAUAUAUAUAGCAUUGAUCUGAAGGAAUUUGUGUAGAUGUCUAUAAAAUAUUACCACUGAUUUAUAUACUCAGAGGUAGGGCUAAGAAACAUGAAAUGCUUUGUUUGUACAACUUCUACACGGUGCCAAUUGUUGCAAACAGCUCCCUCUGAUGGGAUGUUUGUGUACAGCAUGUCCUUCCCAAAGUGCACCUCAAAGCUGAAGAGAAAGUUUGUUUGCACCUCAAUCUUCACAGUCUAGGAAUAUUUUAGAUCAUUGAUAUAAAAUGAGAGUCAUUUGUUACAUAAAAGUGCUGUGAUCCUGGGUAUUGUUACUAAGGGUAGCCUGUUAUGUAACUUCUGUACGUCAGCUAGCUCUAAGUUUGUUUGUGGUCAGACAGAUGUUUGUAAUGACUACUGUGCAUGAGGGUUGAGUCCAUUGCAUCAACACCGUUUGAAAACUUAAAAGUCGAAAAACAUGAUCACAGAGGAGUUGAAAUGUUGAAAACCAUAGAAACUUUUGUUUGAGGCAAACUUUUUCCUCAACUGUGCACUGUGUGAAGGACUUCAGUCUAUAUAAGCAUGCUGCAGCACAAUCACAGCAUAUCUGUCAAAUCACUGCAUGGAUCUGUAAAGGCCUAACGCUACCUGUGACCACCUGGAGAAGACUACCAGAAAGAGUUUUCUCUACAGCCAGGCAGUCACUGUUGAAAAACUACUCCUCUUGUAGUUGGUUGAUCUUUACUAAAAAAAUACAUCUACACUCACAGAGUAGCAUUAAAGCAGAAAGCAGCGGGUUACAAACACACUACAUCUGGAUCUGAGAAAUCAACUAGUCAUGUUUUGUUUUUUUCUUGAAAUGUACAUUUUACCCUUUCAAUAGUGACUUUGGUUUAAAAACGAAUUAAGCGGUCUGGAAAUUUACAUAAUCAUUACCAUCUAUUAAAUGUCUUUAAAUAAGGCAAAGUUCAUCACCAGGUACCAUACUGCAAUUCAUUAUGAAUUAAGCUUUGUGUGGCACCAUCAAAUGAAAUAUUUUAGUUUAAAAUCUAGCUUUCCAUUGUGAAAACCAGGUUGCAGUCCCUGUUCUAGUUUGAACUUCUAUAUCAAGUUCAGGCAUGCAUACAAACCACUAUUGUGCCUUUGAAAUUGUGAAAUAAAAUAUCUUGCUGAGGAAGGAGAGUAAAAAGAACACAGCAUUUGCAAACUCAAAUUCCAUGAGGUAUAUACUAGAAGACUGUGCGUACAGACAAUCAAUUCUUUGAAAUCCCUAAUAUGCCAUUUGAGUGACAAUGGCUGAAGUAAGGCAAUUAUUCCGACUGUGACAUCUUUAACAGAAGGGUUACCAAUCAGUGUUGCAUGUGAGGAGUUAAAUAAAUUCAGUGCUCACCAUCCAAAACAAACUCAUUCUUGUUUUAACAGUUUAUGUGGUCGUUAUCAGAUUGGGUGUCCUUCCUGAUGCAUCACCAGCAUGUUGCAGGAUAUUCUACCGACAUUGAUGAUCAUAAAAAUGAUGAUCAUAGAGGAAUUUGUCAAAAUCACUGUAUUUAAAACCCUGUAUGGGCUGAAGCAGCCGCCUCCAUCCUUUUAAAUGGCUUAUUUGAAGUUUUAAAAAAAAAAAUCAACUGUUUGAGGAGGAGUGACAAUCAACACAAGAUUCAGAUGGUCCAGUUAGUUUGAGCAAAAGAACAUUUCCAAUACCUGAAGUCAGCCUGAUUCUCCAGUCCAGUGUAAAAACAGUAGAAGGCAUUUUGUGCUUAUGUCAACAUCACAGAUUAAGUGUAACAUACUAAUGAUGCAUCCUUGUGGGCAACACCUCAGUGUACACUGCAAUAAUACAGUAUCUCUUGUGUUACGCAGUGCUCAAGCUGUACAUAAGAAAUCUCUAUGACAUUCAUCAAGUCAUUAAAUACCUCAUGAAGUUAUGGUUAGUAAAGUCACUGUUUUAAAUUAAUCACUGCUAUCUUUGCUCAGUUUGUGCAGACGAAAUGAAGUGCUCCCAGUAAGAUCAAUUGGUAUAUCCUGGCAGUUCAUGUUAGCGGGGAAUGGAUGGCUGGUACCCUGCAGCAUUAUCUGAUGCCUUGUUUCUAUUUCAGUCAUGUAAGCCUCGCUGAGCGCAGCCUCAAAAUCACAGCACAAUUAAUUGAUUCUUCUACG
rnacentral:lncRNA from 1 species